GGCCAUCGACCCCUUUGUGGCCAUUUUGGCCUUCAAAUAUUUAUAACUAAGGCAUAGACAAAUAAAUUACUCUGUGAUGUACAGUAUUUAAAAUAUUGAAUAUUGGCAACACUGAUACCGUUGACAGCUUUGAUGUGUCAAACUUCACUUCGAUGCAACAAGUCAUUCUUUUUAGUUGAGCGUGAAAUUGUUAAGAUCUUAACAAAAAGGCUAAGGCGAGCGGAGAUGCAAUAAAAUGCCUUCACCAAAAUCAAAUAGUAACAAAAUAGAUGUCGCGAAAAGAAAAUUAUUUCAGUACUCACCGCAUAAAAUUACUUUAGCGUUGAACGCAAUUAAGAAUGGGAUGCCCGUUUCCACUGCUAGUAGAGAUUUUAAUGUACCUCGAACGACUUUGCGACAUAAAAUUUCUGGAAAAGCACCUGAAACUUCUGGACAUGUAGGACCCCAGGCUGUUCUUGGAAGUGAAAUAGAGAAUGAACUUGUCGUAUGGAUCAAAGAUUGCGCUCGUGCUGGGUUUCCUAUCAACAAUGAAGGUUUACUAGAUUCUGUAAAGAAAAUAGUAGUAAAAGGCCAAAUUAACACACCGUUUAUAAAUAAUAGACCUUCAAGAUCCUGGUUUGACGGAUUUAUGGCAAGGCAUCCUGAUUUGAGGCAAAAACAUGCCGAAUAUAUUAAUAAAGCUCGUGCCUUAAUUACUGAGGAAAAAUAACUAUCAAUUUAAUGUAACUAUAAUUAUUACGCAUAAUAAUCCAAAUUAAUUAAUCAAUUAUUUACAGAACUUACUGCCAUGUCGGCGAUCACUCUAAAGCGAUAACAUACUAACUCGCUUCGAUUGAUCGCCGAUAUGCAGUCCUUAUCCCUUCUUUCCCAAUCCCCUUUCCUCUCCUCUCCUUCCCACACCUUCCCUUGGCGCCUGCAGUCGUUAAGCCGGGAGGAACCCGUACACCGUUCGCAGGUUCCUCUCGGUGUUGACUGCAGGAUCGACCACCAAAAAAAAAAAAAACACACCUGCGUGCUCGGUCUCCAUACCGAAUGCACGUCCAUGCAUGGGGGGACAUUUGUCGCGGCCCUAGGCACACAAAAAGUGUGCCUACACCCCCAUAGUUGCAAGUUCACAUGGGGGGUCUGACAGGGACUCGUUGAACAUUUCACCUCCUUUUCCUCUCCGCCCAUCCUAAUACUUCUUCUUCCUUCCCCCACACUCCUCUCCCAAUUCUUCCCUCCCACUUUCCUCCUGGCCCCUGCAGUCAUUAAGCCGGGAGGAACCAGUAUACCGUUCGCAGGUUCCUCCCGGUGUUGACUGCAGGAUCAGCCGUUAUUAAAAAAAACCUAACCUAACCUGCUUCCUUUCCCAAUCUUCUUUCCUCUUCUCUCCUUCCCACACCUUCCCUUGGCCCCUGCAGUCUUUAAGCCGGGAGGAACCAGUACACCGUUCGCAGGUUCCUCUAGGUGUUGAAUGCAGGAUCAGCCGCUAAAAAAAAAAAAUCUUCCCACCUCAGUCGCAGCGCGCGCGAGUUAUCGAACGCACGCGCCCCGCGGACACUUUGCGACGCUCCGCACACGUAAAUCACUAGAAAAUCAAAAGUGUUGGGUCAAAGUUCGCACAUCAAGUUGUACUAUACGUCAAAAGAUGCGGAAAAAUACCCUCUUUAAAGUGCAGUUUAAAUCAAAUAAAUACUAACGAAAUAGUGCCAAAGUUAAAAAAAUUGUGAAUUAAAAGUAAUUGAGUUAUUACUUGUUACCAUUACUUGUAAAUUGAUCACUGGUUAGUGGUUGGGUGAAAAUCAAGAUCAUUAUGUAGUUGGAAUGGUAAGCGGGCAAUGAUUUACAGAUUGAUAGGCGGUUAUGAUUUUAUGUGUGUGUUAUUUUGUGUAGGGUUAGCCGAGGAUGUUAAGAAACGCCAAUAUUUUUGAGUAUUGGUAUUCGUCACAUUAUAAGGUGAUUAGGUCUGCAGCAAAUAAGUUUCUAUAUGCGCCGCCUACUAGUGUAGCAAGUGAACAGCUGUUUAAUAAAGCUGAACAGUUGUACAAUGAAAGGAGACACUCUUUGAAGGGUGAAAAUGCCGAGACCGAAAAACUCGUUUCGGUCGCCUUAGUAAAAAGUAAUUUGAAAAAAAAUGGACCGUGAUAACUCAGGAGGUGAGAGUAGUAUAGAUGCAAAGAAGAAAAAGUACUAUUGUUCUUUCAAUGACCUCUGGUUAAAAGAACAUACUUCGAUUUUUGUUUUGUUUAAUAAACAGUAGAUAACUGUGUUUCCUUAGAAUUUUAUUUCAUUUUGUUGUUUUUUCGAAUAAAUAUGUGAUUUAA